AAUAUAGAGCUAGUGGUAAUCUAAAUGCAUCGUUCCGCCUCGGUAUCUUUUGCCACCCCAAGGGAAUACGUAGAUUUGGCCUUAGCUCAGCGGACUUUAGAGAGUGUCUUCGGUGUAUAAAAGAACCCUGUAACAAGAGAGCUUUAUGCAUUUGUCGCAACAGCGUCGAAGAAGAUAAUUCCUGUUCUCGUUGGUUUCCUCGAUAUCCUUCCAGCUGAAAUGCUCACGAAGGCAAAAGUAAUUCUCUUAAUUCAGCUGGUAACUCUGGUACUGGCAGACGUUUCCCCUUACGAUGCAGAAGUUUCUGGUAUUGCUGAAACGGAAGAAAUUGUCGUACCCACGACAGAUGAUACGUCCGUAGAGAACGCCAUGGAGACAGCGGAGACUUUCAAACGUCGUUAUUACUACCCGAGAGCCCACUACUACCCGAGAGCUCCACUACUACCCAAGAUAUUACUACCCCAGAUAUACUCAGUCCUACGCACCAACUAGGAGAUAUUACAAUAAUUACUAUCAGAGACCCCAGUACACCGCUCCCAAUCGCGGUUCCUACAACUACCCUGCAUAUCGCCCAGCUUAUCAACCGCAGUACUAUUAUUCUACGAGCAGUUCGUCAGACUCAGACUCCUCUCCUCCACACAUUCCUGAUACACCAAGUAUUCCUGAUACACCAUUCAUUCCCAACGAUCCACCAAUCAUUGCUGAUCCACCGCAUAUUCCUAACGAUCCACCGCAAGAUUUCAGUCAUCUACAUCACAACUAAAGAUGCACUUGUGAAACUGACCAGGAACCACCAAACUGACUCGGAAAGUGACCUUACUAAUUUCCACCAUUGUUACCACCAUGUUUUUUGUUAUCACGCUUUUUGUUAUCGCCUUCUUCCACGGCUUUUGCUUCGCCCGAGAAUACAUACACUUUAAGCAUAAA